CUUUGGCUCCUGAAUAAAAAGAGUAUUCUAACCAGAGACAAUUUACUGAAAAGGGGCUGGAAAGGAGACAAGCAUUGUGUGAUGUGUGGAAAAGAGGAGAAUAUUGAUCACUUAUUCUUCUCCUGCUCUGUUGCUAGACUCAUUUGGAACUUGGUAGGGUGUGCUUUUGACCUUAAACUUAUUCCAAAAUAUCUGAAUGAUUGUUUUGGAAGCUGGUUGAAUAAAUUCAACAAAAAUGAUAAGAAAAUGGUUUUGACCGGUACCGCUGCUCUACUAUGGGCAAUUUGGAAUAGUAGGAAUGAUAUUGUAUUUGGCAGGAAAAACAUAAACGACCCGAUUGGGAUCGUCAAAAGAAUGUGCAAUUGGAUCACUGACUGGGCUGUUUUGCAGAAGAAGGACCCAGGGGAAAGAACGUUGAUGCUGGGGGCAAGACUCAUCGAGCAGGUGGCAAGUGAAAUCUACAAAGCUUCGCAGGGGUGGCGCUUCGGAGUUCCAAGGCUACAAAUGUGGUGCUUCGGGGGGCAAAAAUCUUCUACCUCUUCGGAUCUUACCAUUUUGCUUUCAUGA
rnacentral:rRNA from 1 species